rnacentral:lncRNA from 1 species
AAUUGGUGGAUUUUUAAUUUUCAGAUUUAAAUCUAAAUAACAGUGCUAGGUAAACUUUGUCAUUAAUAUGAAGGCCUGUAUUUGUAUAGUACUUACUAUAAAACCACGUGUAUGUCCUAGACUAUACUUUUGUAAGCUAAUAUUGUAUCUUGUACAUAUAAUUUCAGGUCAUAGACAUGAAUGACUACCAGAGGAGGAGGUUUGCAUCACGGAUCAUAGACAGCCUGUUUAAUACAGUGACUGAUAAGAAGAUAGCUAUCUUGGGGUUUGCGUUCAAAAAGGAUACUGGUGAUACCAGGGAGUCCUCCAGUAUCUACAUUAGCAAAUACCUGAUGGACGAGGGUGCGCACCUCCACAUCUACGACCCCAAAGUACCCAGGGAGCAGAUAGUGGUGGAUCUUUCUCAUCCAGGCGUCUCAGCGGAUGACCAAGGUAGGACUCUCCCACACAGCGGGCUUCUCUUUGAAACCUUUAUUUAGUAGUUGUUUUUCUGUCACUUCUUGUCAGUGCUUUGCCCGGU